rnacentral:lncRNA from 1 species
CCGGUUCAUCUCCUGGAGCCUUCGAUCCAGGAGGUCCUCUCGACUGUGAGUCUCGAAGAUCUUCUGGUAGAGUGGAGGUAGAGAUCCUCCGGAAGUGAAAUCAUGAUGAGACUGAGGGCUCUGCACCCUCGAAUUCCCCUUUUCGGGGAAGAUAGAAUGACUGGCCCAAGUGGCCCGCCCUACUGCCAGAUCUUGGAACUCCGACGAUGCUCUUUCCAACCGCACUAAUGCCUACGACUGUUGCUGCUGCUGUUGCAUGGCCUGCACUGCUUCGAUGAGGCUUCUGACCUGCUGAACCAAUAGGUCAAACUGCUCCAUGCCGAUCGCUGUUGCCGGAGGAGGAGG